GGGCAAAUGGCCUAGUGGUAUGGCGUCUCAUUUGCAUUUUGAACGUAAUAUUGAGAAGGUCCAGGGUUCGAUCCCCUGUUUGUCCA
rfam:Naematelia encephala strain 68-887.2 BCR39scaffold_16, whole genome shotgun sequence.